UUACUUUCUGUGACCGUUGUGUUUUCUAUUCUACAGUCAGAGCACAGAAACGGUUUUCUUCGGGCUUUUGAAAGAGGUUUAUGAACUAAGCACCUGAUUUCCACCUAUAAUACUGUAAUUCAAUAACUUGUGUGAUAUAUGAGAAAUCCUGAAGUUCAUCACACUGUAACUGAAUUGCCAUUCCCACAACACUCCAGAGAGUUCUCUUGUCCUCUUUUGGCCAUGUGAGGAUACAAGAAGAUGGCAGUCUGCAACCAAGACGGCUCUCACCAGAACCCAACCAUGCUGGUAAUCUGAUCUCAGACUUCCAGCUCCAGAGCUGUAAGAAAUAAAUUUCUGUCGUUUAUAAGCCA